GGAUGCGAUCAUACCAGCACUAAAGCACCGGAUCCCAUCAGAACUCCGAAGUUAAGCGUGCUUGGGCGAGAGUAGUACUAUGAUGGGUGACCUCCUGGGAAGUCCUCGUGUUGCAUCCC
rnacentral:rRNA from 1 species